rnacentral:rRNA from 1 species
UACGGGGGGGGCAAGCGUUGUUCGGAAUUACUGGGCGUAAAGGGCGCGUAGGCGGUUGGAUAAGUCAGCUGUGAAAACCACGGGCUUAACUCGUGGCCUGCAGUUGAGACUGUCUGGCUUGAGUGUGGGAGAGGAGAGUGGAAUUCCCGUGGUGUCGAGCGGAUGAAUCGCUAGAUAUCGGAGGAAGACACCGGUAGGCGAAGGCGGCUCGCUCGGUCGACCACC